rnacentral:lncRNA from 1 species
UUUGUUUUAUUUUCAUGAUUGAAUUUGUGCCAUCAUUUUUGAAGUUAGAGAUGUUCGUUUAUUUAUUUUGUCAUCUCCUAAUUAGUGCAUUGUGCCUAUUUGAGAUGAAUGAAUUUUUUAGGUUAUUUAUAUGUAUGUGAAAUUUUAUCUGUAUGGAUCAUCUAAUGCGGAGGUAGAAACAUUUAUGCUUUAAUAUUUUCUAAAGUUUCAAUAUUUUCUUUUGGGACUGUGCAGAUAGUGUUGUGGCCAGUGUUUUUUUUUUUUUUUUUUGAAAAGAGUACUAUGGCCAGUGUUGUGAAAAGCGCUAGGCGGCAGAGAUCAAGCCUUGAUUUUACGCUAAAGGGCGGUGUGAGCUUUUUUGAGGCGGAUAUGUAACUUCCACUAUAUUUGCAUUAUAAUACAUAUAUUAUUAUUUUUUUCAAAACGCCAAUCAAGCUGCAACUUUUAGAAUACUUGGGGCUCAUGAGGCGCAACUUUUUGAGGUUUGAGGAUUCCUAAUCCUCAUUAAAU